AGCGAACGCUGGCGGAAUGCUUAACACAUGCAAGUCGCACGGGGGCUUCGGCCUUAGUGGCGGACGGGUGAGUAACGCGUAGGAAUGUGUCCGAGGAUGGGGGAUAACGUUGGGAAACUGACGCUAAUACCGCAUAUCUCCUGAGGGAGAAAGCCGCGAGGCGUCCACGGAGCAGCCUGCGUACGAUUAGCUUGUUGGUGGGGUAAAGGCUUACCAAGGCGACGAUCGUUAGCUGGUCUGAGAGGAUGAUCAGCCACACUGGAACUGAGACACGGUCCAGACUCCUACGGGAGGCAGCAGUGGGGAAUAUUGGACAAUGGGCGCAAGCCUGAUCCAGCAAUUCCGCGUGGGUGAAGAAGGUCUUCGGAUUGUAAAGCCCUUUCGUUGGGGACGAUGAUGACGGUACCCAAAGAAGAAGCCCCGGCUAACUUCGUGCCAGCAGCCGCCGUAAAAC
rnacentral:rRNA from 1 species